UACGGGGGGGGCAAGCGUUGUUCGGAAUUACUGGGCGUAAAGGCUCGUAGGCGGCCAACUAAGUCAGACGUGAAAUCCCUCGGCUUAACCGGGGAACUGCAUCUGAUACUGGAUGGCUUGAGUUCGGGAGAGGGAUGCGGAAUUCCAGGUGUAGCGGUGAAAUGCGUAGAUAUCUGGAGGAACACCGGUGGCGAAGGCGGCAUCCUGGACCGACACUGACGCUGAGGAGCGAAAGCCAGGGGAGCAAACAGG
rnacentral:rRNA from 1 species